CUGAGCUGUCGACACGAGCUGUUGCUGGUCCUCAAACAUUGGGGGCAUGUGCACGCUCUGUUCACACAUCCACUCACACCUGUGCACCCUCUGUAGUUCUAUGGUCUGGGGGACGCUCGUCUUCCUCCUGUAGUUCUACGUUUUUACACAUACACCGUAGCAAAGUCUUUUGGAAUGUACGUCGCGUUUAACGCAAUACAAUA
rnacentral:misc_RNA from 1 species